CUUGGUGGCAAUAGCGAGGUGGACCCACCCCUUUCCAUUCCGAACAGGACCGUGAAACGCUUCAGCGCCGAUGAUAGUACGAGGUAUAUCGUGUGAAAGUAGGACACUGCCAGGC
rnacentral:rRNA from 1 species